AGCCUUCAUACGAUGCUGUGGAUCAGAGCUGUACCUGGGCACAUGUCACAGUACUUCCACACGGAAACAGAGGCUGGAUCGGUUCCUUGGUCAAGUUCAAUGAGUGGCCACGCAAACACUUGUCCAGACAAAAUGUGUGUGUCAAAGGAGAGGGAAUGAGAGGUGUCUCUCUUGAAAAUGACUGAAGAAUUAGAAGGUUUCAAAGCCCUUCUGAAAUUCUGGACUCAGAAGGACAGAGCCUACAAUGAAUGCAAGCAUAUAUGCACACCGGCACAAACGCACAGUGUGAUCCUUUGUUUCCACUGAAAUAAUACAGUGCAGAAAUGAUGAAUAUUUCCUUAUCUUGGCUCCUUUCCUGCAACGAGGGAAAAAUUGGCUGGUACAGAGGGGAACACCCAGGAAAACAUUUAGUGUAUAGCCUGGUUAUUCGUUCAUAGCUGUGCUACAUAUUUGUUGAGAUCAGAAAGAUUCCCUCCAAAGGUAGAAAAUAAAAGAAUAAUGUCAAAAUCAAAGUAAUAACAAGAGCAAAAAAGUGUUUUCUCCUCUCUUCGAUGAAAAGCCCAAACAAACAGAAGCCAACAUGCUGCAUGUGCCACCAGCAAAGCAGAGACUUGAACAGCAAGUCCUUUCUCUUUCCAUAUAUACGUUAUGAGCCAGUGUUAGGGUGAGGGAACAGCAACUUUAAAUUGAGUGGGAAGAGAGGAAAAAGAAUAUCAGUCUAAUAAAAGCCAUUGGGGUUAGAUAAAUUACAGAGAAAAGGGAGAGGCAAUUUCUGUCCAUUUUAACGCCCACAUGCAAUAGGGAACAAGUGAAAAUCAGACCUGGGGAUAAUUUGUGGUUGCUUUUUCAAAUCUGUAUCGAGGUCCAGAAAAAAAAAAAAAAGAUAUAGAAGAAAAUUAAUCAGUAACGAGAAAAUUCCCCCAGAAAUACCAUGACAGAAACAGAAAGUAAUGACUUGGAAAUUAAAAUCAUUUGAGGUAGAUAGGGCAAAUGCUGGCAAGUACUCUUGUUCUCUGUUGGCAUUUCAUGGAAGCAGGAGAUCCCAUUACAAGGAUGUUCCCAUGGCUACAAAUACAACCUCAGUCAGCACCAGCUCUACAUAUCAUUACACAGUUGCCAAAGAUUCACUUGGCAAGAAAGACUGGCAAGUUCACUGCACUGUUACCCGUGGGUCUGAGCUUCUUGGUCUGGUAUAUACAUUCUUCACAAUAAAGAUCACUUUGAGGGGCCACCUCCUCUAAGAGCUGUAGACCUUCCCAUAAAAGCAGACUCCAAGCAAUGUGAUGCUUUAGUCCAAAUUCUUGUUCAUAUGUUUUGGAUUGAUUCAGCCUCAGCAGAUCAAAGAGGCCAGCUACUGAGUCCACUACCAAAUACCUAAAUCUGGCUCUACCUAAGCACAGUGUGAACAUUUUACACGCAGUGCAUUCCCUCUAACUCUUGUACCUUCUCUGGUUAUUAGAUUAGGAAUACAGCUACUAUAAACCUUCUGCAAAAGAAUGGAGAGUGUCAGGACUUUAUGGAUGCAAGUUCAGAUCCAACUGGCAGUUGGAUCACCGUCACUGCAUCUCUGUUGUCUACACUGACAAUGGGGCAUUAACUUCGUUCCCAAAUGCAGGCGUUGCAUCGGUUGAGAGGCAGUAGUUUUAAGUCUACUUGCAUGCAGAAGCUGACCAGAGGGGCUGGAUCUCUUCGAAGUCUGUAUCACAAUCAUGAAAUUCAACUCUUUUAAGCCCUUCUCUAAAUGUGAAUCUUCCAACCUUAGUGGAAGUCUUUCUCUAUGUUGCAUGACAUGUCAGUAAGAAAGCUGGGGUCACUGAUAGAGCCUUCUGGUCUCUGUAAACAGUGUGUGGGCCUCUCUGUGCCUCAUCUGUUUCAGACAUGAGGUUUCUACAGCUCUCAAUACAUAUUCUGGCCUCCACAUUUUCAAGACCAAGCUUUAUUUCUGACUGGCUGAUUGUUAUGAAAGCCCUUGUCUUGCUAAGUAUAUUCUCCAUGCUCCUUGUUAGCUUUUUCAUUAGCUAAGUAAGGAGGACCUUUCUCAUCUAAGUCUAUCAUCCUGGCAUUUUUUCCUACUCUUAAAUUUUCGGUAUCCGCUGUGCUCUGUAGAACUGUGACAAUCAUGAGAAGGACCCUGUUUUAUCAGCCAUCAUAUUAGGACUUGCAGACCAUGAACAGGCUGCCAUGGGAAUCACAGUGAGAGGAGGUUCUGUAAUACAAGGGAGAGUUCUAAACUGUGUAUAUCAAACUAAAAAGCAGAAGCAUGUGGGAGAGACAUUAGGACAGCCUCACAACAGAUAAUGAUGUUGUUCAAAGUCUUUUCCAGUUGCCUGGACAAAUGAUGGUGCUUCAAUAAGGGUUUCCUACUCCCACAAGAUUGUAACAAACACUCUCAAUUUGAUUGUGCAGGAUCUCAAAUAAUUUAUGAAUAAUCCAGAUGCAGGGUGCAGUGUUUGCUCCAUGGACAAAACAGGAUAUGUGGGGGUUUAGGUAAAAAUUUGAAUGUUGCAAGGUUCAAGAAUGGGGUCAGUGCAGAGCGGGAGUGCAAGGAAUGAACUGUGAUCCUCCAGCUGAAUGAGGGCCAGCUCUCUUUUGAGACCUGGAAAUGAGGAAGGAAAGGAAGUGGGUCUUUUAGGUUAUACCCCUCCAAAAGAGGGCACUAGGAGCUCUUUAUAACCACUCCAAAGAAAAGCUCAAGAAAGCCAGGCCCUUUUCAACUGUUUAAAACUCUCCUGAGACCCAAAUAAAUAUAUCAAAGAAAUCCAGAACAGGUCAUUUACUUAAAAUGAUGUGUCUACCAUUUAAUUCCCAUUCAAUUUCAACACAGAGUUAGCCAAAAGCUGUCAGAGUCCUGGCUCGACACAGGAGCAAGACCUAGGAGAAGGCAGCAGUGUGAUUCCCUCCCUGUGCUGCUCCUGCCACUCUCAUGAAGCCUUGGCAUGGGAAGAUAGACCUAUUUCAUUUCAGGAAAAGAACAGAGAGGCUAUAAAUCCCGACACGGUAUAUUUAUUGAAAAAUGAAGGUAAUAACAUUAAUCCAGAUAAUGAGCUGUAUGUUUCCCUGCCUCAGAAAACCUCUUAGCCAGCGGAAAUAAAUCCACCUGAAAUUUAGCAGCAGAGUAACUCCUUUUCUUUCUUCUUCUUUUUUUUCUUCCUUCUCCUGCUCAUCACAAGUCUCCCUUCCUUAUAUACCACUGGAAUUUAAAAUACAGGCAAAAGUUGUGGGGUUCUGAAGAGGCUGAAUAUAGUGUGGCUAUGACAGUUCCUCUCCUUUCUGGAUGGAAUGGACCAAUAGUAAUCUCCUCUUAAAUGUAGGGCUGUAUGUCUAAAGAACAUACACAGGUUCUGUUACCAGUCAGUGGGCAUCUGAACAACUUGGAUGUGGGAUAAUUUUAUCUCAUAUCUAAGCCAGAUAUGUAAAUAAGGACAGGUAUGUUGCAUUAUAAGUGAACUGUUUUCUUUCUAGUACCAAUAAUCCAGCUUCAAGACCAGUUCAGCUAUUCUCUCCACUUUUAAUGUUAAAAUUAAGGUUAGAUUAGUCACAUUUUUUAAUUUUUGGGGGUCACAGAGUCAUAGAAUUGUAUGGGCUGGAAUGGACCUUAAAGACCAUCUACUUCCAACACCCCUGCCAUGGACUGGUUGCCAACCACUAGAUCAGGGUCACAGGAUCAUAGGAUGGAAAUGAAUUACCUCAAGAGGCAAAGCCGUUUUUCUGCUAUAAACCACUAAAUUGUAUAACGCUUCAUACAUAAAUAUGGAGAAGUGUUAAACUAGAUCCCUGAAGAGUUUAUUGUAAGGGAUGACAAUGUCCUACUUAAAACCAUCUUAAAUAGAGGCAUUUUUUCUCUUCUCAUGAUUGUAAUCUAUUGUCACAUUACCCAUCUCUUUUACGCCUCUCCGUCUAUCAAAGCAAUCUUCACGUUCUGUAGUAUUUCCAAGCUUUACUUUCUGCUUCCUCUUGCAUGAAAUUUUGGUAAGCAGAAGUAUUACAGAAAAUCAUAACUGUGAUAUAAAAGAGUUUAUUUUUCUCCCAAUAUGGAAAAUUUUUCUCCAACUGAACCCUUAGAUCUUCUGAAAACAUCCUAUAGGAGGUACCAUAAAGUGAAACCAGUGUUGCUGAAACGGGUGCCUUAGAGAGGACCCUAAUUAUUUAUCUGCUAAAAAUAACCUAGUCUGUUUUCCAAGUGUGUUGAAAGAUGCUGAGUAAAGGCAAAGUGCUCAUCAUUUUAGAUAAGCAGGCAGCUUAUACAAUUUUGGCAACUUUAUGACCAUGAACUGCCAAGAUGAGCAUGUCAUUUGGUCAUCCCCAUAGCAUUAGCAGCAGUUUUUCAUAGAAGAGAAGAAGAUCGGUUUUAGCUAAGAAAAUUUUUUCUGUGUUCUUAAAUUUCAAGGCAGGAUUUCAUUGACAAAGUCUGUUCCAAGUCUAUAAUUUGUUCUUUGCAUUAUACCAACCUUUUAGGAACCUAAAAUACAAUUUUGUAUCCAUAAGGCAUGAGAGUUCUGCAUGUUCUGACACACAUUUUUCCUUGUUCAUCUUUCAUUUGCAGGUACUUAUUAGUGAUUUUAAAAUGAACUGUUCAUGCUCAGCUAUUGAAAUUCUUGAGUCUGACUUCUCAUGAUCAAUAAAUUUGCCAAACUGCAAACGUUUCUCCUUGAGAUGUAAAUUUUACAUGUGUAAAUUUUAAAUUUCCGGUCUUCAUGGCUCAAAAUGAUGUCAUUGUGACCUUGCCAUUAUUCUAAUUGACUAAAUUAGAGCCUGAAGUUCCUGUGAGAUUUUGAACUUUUGUUUGUUCCUCAUAAUGAUCAUUUUUUCCUCUAUUUUUAAAUUAAAAAAAAAAAAGAAAAUAAUUCACACUUCAAAAAUAAUCUGACUUUAAAAAAUUCCGGACACAAUGCAGAGUGCACACUCACAAAGAUUUUUGGUUUCAAGCACUUCAUUUGUCACUGUUUUUUACCAGGUUAUUCUCUGACUACUCUUAUUUAUUUAAUUUGGUUAUCAAAGAAUUAAUUUAUCUAUGAAUGAACAUACUUCCAGAGGAGAGGUUGCCUGAUCUCUCAGGGCAUGACCAGAUAGAACCCCAAGUGCCAUAGUGAAGACUUGUUCCCAUACCUGCCAAUCUCAGCUGUAGUGCCUGAAGCACCAGGUCAUAUCAUAGAAUCAUAGAACCAACAAGGUUGGAAAAGACCUCCGAACUCAUCCAACCAUCCACCUACCGCCAAUAUUUCCCCACUAAACCAUGUCCCUUAGUACCACAUCUAAACAGU